GUUCAACUCAAGGCUGGUUUCAACUUGGACUUCACCUUGACUAUAUUGGGCUAGAGUGAACUGCCCUCUCUCACCCUUGGGACCACACUUGUCAGCCCUCAUGUCACACACUGGAAUCCUGGGACCCUCAGGAAGACACUCAAGGUUCCUGGAACCCCAGCAAUCCACGAAACAGCACAACCACGUCUCUCUACUGCCAUUGUAUAGUCCCCUCUGCCAGAGGGAUCUGGUCCUGAGAACACCAGGUACGGAGUUCCCUACCAACCCGGUCCCCAGCUCUGCCUGCUCUGGGUGGUGACAGAGGGAGGAAGAAACACCACACAGGUGCACGUGCAGAGAGGUUUGGUUGAUUCUCUGCGGCUUCCAACUGCUGUACCGGCUAAAAGGACUACCCUGACUUUUAAUCUGACCUUGGUGACAUUUAGAUACUGAUCUCCCACGGCUGCACAGCCGAGGAGGCAGUGGGGAGCUGGAGGACCAAACAAAAGGUAAGCUCUUAGGUGGGACCUUAAGCUCCCAGCUGCAUUGUGGUGACCUGAGUAAUAGUGCCUGGGUGAGACUGGACCCUGGGCUCCUGCCCGAGGCUAUAGCCUUGGGUCAUCAGCCCCUUAAGAACCAGUGUGCUUUCUGUAAACAAGGAGGUCACUGGAAAAAGGAAUGUCCUCAGCUUCAGAGCAGGCCAGGGAAGCUUGAAUCUGUGAUGGCCAAAAGUACAGGAGACUGACAGAGCCCAAAGCCUCCCGUGAAUCUCCCUGGACAACUCGCUGUCACACAAUAAUAUUGUGGGGCUUUUUUUGUUUUGGUUUUGAUACUGGGGUAGUAGGUGCAGCCCCCUCCUACUACAAUUGUACAGCUGCAAGACAGUGUCUUACUUGCCUCAGAUGUAGGACUCUAACAGGGCA
rnacentral:lncRNA from 1 species